rnacentral:rRNA from 1 species
CCCCAGUACGGCGAGUGAGCGGGAAGAGCUCAAGCUUAAAAUCUCCAUACUUGUAUGGCGAAUUGUAGUCUAUUGAGGCUGUUGUCAGCAUCGCGAUUGGGGACAAGUCCCUUGGAAAAGGGCAGCAUGGAGGGUGAUACUCCCGUCUCUGCUCCAAUCUGCGGUGUGUACGAUACGCUUUCUUUGAGUCGAGUUGUUUGGGAAUACAGCUCAAAGUAGGUGGUAAAUUCCAUCUAAAGCUAAAUAUUGGUGCGAGACCGAUAGCGAACAAGUACCGUGAGGGAAAGAUGAAAAGAACUUUGAAAAGAGAGUUAAAGAGUACCUGAAACUGUUGAAAGGGAACCGUAUCGUUUCCAGUGUUGUAUCCUAUGCAUAUUUCAUUCGUGGAGUAAUUUACGGGUGCCCUGUGCAUGGGUGUGACGUCAGGGUCAGUUUGUAUGCUGCGGGAGAUGGUCAGUGAGGAGGUGCGUCACUUCGGUGAAARUUAUAUCUCGCUGUCUAGUAGCCGUGGUUGAGACUGAGGUGCCUACAACAUGCCUUAAGGUUCUAUGUUGUCUCGUGUUGGUGACUGCUUUGAUAGCUUGCUAUGUCUGUGGUUUAUUAAUGCSAUUGAUGAUGUGGAUAACUUUUGCUGUUCGGGACUCUGGCGAAAUGGAGCGAUACRACCCGUCUUGAAAACACGGACCAA